UACGUAGGGUCCUAGCGUUGUCCGGAAUUAUUGGGCGUAAAGAGCGUGUAGGCGGUCCGGUAAGUCGGCUGUGAAAGCCCAGGGCUCAACCCUGGGAUGCCGGUCGAUACUGCCGGACUAGAGUUCGGAAGAGGCGAGUGGAAUUCCCGGUGUAGCGGUGAAAUGCGCAGAUAUCGGGAGGAACACCUAUGGCGAAGGCAGCUCGCUGGGACGUUACUGACGCUGAGACGCGAAAGCGUGGGGAGCAAACAGG
rnacentral:rRNA from 1 species